UUUUUGAAACAGGCUCUGAGACGCGUACACACCGCCCGUCACCCUCCCCAAAACCUAACAACAUCAGUAGCUAACAAGCCAACAUCAAAUAGCGGGGAGGCAAGUCGUAACAUGGUAAGUGUACCGGAAGGUGCACUUGGAACA
rnacentral:rRNA from 1 species